UGGGUACUUCUAUUUUUGAUGGGACAGUCAAAAUAUUGGACUUUGUCAAAUAUAGAUGAACCUAUGUGUGUGCAAAAAAAUAAGUGGGAGUUUCACUAACUUCUUGGUUAUGUAUGUGGGGGACAUACAGCAUAUUGAGAAGGUAGUCCCGAUAUGGCACUUGGUCAAUAACUUGCUUAUCACAGAAGUUUUCAUGGAAAAAAACUUGGGUUAAGUAACCAAUAUAUUUG
rnacentral:lncRNA from 1 species